rfam:Oryza glumipatula chromosome 6, whole genome shotgun sequence.
UUAAAGCGCGGUUAUAUAUUUUCGUGUCUAACUUUCAUCGUCGUUCGUCUUAUUUAAACUUUUUUAUGAUUUGUAUUUUUAUUAUUAUUAGAUGAUAAAACAUGAAUAAUAAUUUAUAUGUGACUUAUUUUUUUAAUUUUUAAAAUAAAACAGAUAAUUUAAGUUGAAUAGUGAAACUCAUGGCUUGGACGGAAA